GCGGCGGGGGAGGGGAGGAGGCCUGGCCCCGCGGCCGCCGCGAACGUCGCCCGCCCGGACCGCUCGGACAGCCGCGGGGCGACGGGCCCGAGACGGCGCCCCGCACCCGGGAUUCGCCUCGGUUCGGCCGCGCGUAUAUUUCCCUUCCUCCAUAAUCUCCAACACUGAUGAAGUGGAAGAAACUGAGAUACCGUGAAAGAAAAGUAACCUGGACUGAGAAAGACAGAGGGCAACCUGAGAGUACAUGAUGAAAGAUUUGACAUAAUUAAAGGGAUCAAAGAAGACUUCUCUGAGAAAGGGACAUUUAAGCAAAGACUUGAAGCAGCAGGAGUUGGCCAAAUGAUGAAUGGAGGCUGGAGUGUUCUGUGCAGAAGAACAGCAUGUGAGAAGGCCCUGACAGAAAGGAGUUUGGGGGAGUUUCAGAGACUUAAAUGCCAUUGUGGGAGACAAGGAAGAGCCAAAUCAUCAGGGCCUUGUGGACAGUGGUAAGGGUGUCCUACACAGGAAACCUUGGGAGACUUUAAACAGGAAAACUGUAAACGCUGCUGUGUACAAGUGGAAGCAAGAUGACAAGCCUCACAAACUUCUCUGAAUCACCUGUCAAGCUGUAAGCUUCUUGAGGGCAGAAAUUGUGUCUUAUUAGUUAGUGUAUCCAUGUCCAGUACUGUGCCUGACACAGCAGAUGCUCUGUACUAUAUACAUGAAUUUAAUAAGUGGAUGGUGGGGCCAGGAUUUCAACUUAGGUUUUCAAGAAGGGCUCUACUCAAGUAUCAACGCCCCACCCCCACAUACAACCCUUCAAAGACCUCUAUCCACACCCAAGUCUAACUGGAUAUCUGUGUAUCUGUGGUCGAUUGUAUUUUCGAAAAGUGGCCAUAAUAUCUCACACCCAACACAUUCUUAUUACAAUCUAACUUUGGCUUUCUUCUCGCUGAGAAGUGAGAUCUAGUUCCCUCUUCUUGGAUUGGAGGCAAGGUUAUAAAAGGUGAUUGAGCUUCCUCCUGGUUCUCUUGGGAUACUUACUCUUGGAACCCAGCCACCAUGCUAUGAGGAAGCCCAAGAUACGCCCAUGUGGAGAAGAACUGACAGCCAGCAUCAACUUGCCAGCCAUGUGAAUGAGCCAUUUUGAAAGUGAAUCCUCUACCUUCCAGCAAUCUGCCUAGUUGAUACCUUCUGGAGUGGAAAUGAGCUGUCCCCACUGAACCCUGCCCAAAUUAUAGAUUCAUUAGCAAAAUUAAUGAUGGUGGUUUUUUUUAAGACAUUUUAAGUCUUGAGAUGGUUUUGUUAAGCAGCAGUAGGUAACUGGAACAGCAUCUUAUGUUUAUCAGGGAGGGGAGGCAGUACAAGUCGGGUUAGUGGGUGGCCUAUCACUGUCUUAGUUCAAAGCCCACCUCAGCUACUUACUAGUUGUAUAACCUUUGGCAAGUUACAUAACCUCUCUGUGCUUCAGUUUCCUUUUUUCAGUGUAAAUAAAAACAGUACUUAACAUUCGUUUUGAUUAAGUGGUGAUGCAGGUAAAUGCAGAUCUCCAGUUAAGACAGAUCAAUCUUAGUGAUCAUCUCAGGCAAGCCUCUGAUCAUUCCACCAUCCCUCUUAUGUGGUUCUGGGUCUCGCUAGUACUUUUGGUGUGU